CCUCAGUCAGCCUUGUGGAUGU
rnacentral:miRNA from 3 species